rnacentral:misc_RNA from 1 species
GAAAAAUCCAUAGCAGUGUUGAUAAAUUUAGCUUCAAGUAAAUCAGGAAAAGAUGAAAUGGUCGCAGCCCCUGGUCUUAUCAGUGGGCUAGCAACAAUAUUGGACACGGGUGAACCCAUUGAGCAGGAGCAAGCUGCCUCAUGCCUUUACAUUUUGUGCAACGGCAGUGAAAAGUGCAGUCAAAUGGUCCUUCAAGAAGGGGUUAUACCUGCAUUGGUCUCUAUCUCAGUAAAUGGUACCACAAGAGGGAAAGAUAAGGCACAGAAACUUCUAAUGCUAUUCCGGGAGCAACGGCAACGGGAUCAACCUCAACCACCUGCUGAGGUGCGCUUUCAACGGGCUGAAAGUAGUUCCAAGGCAAUGCCAAGUCAGGAAUCAAAGCCACUAUGUAAAUCGGUCUCCAGGAGGAGGAUGGGGAAAGCUUUUAGUUUUUUUUGGAAGAGCAAGAGCUAUUCAGUUUACCAGUGUUAAAACUUGGUCUUGUAAAUUUCUACUGUAUCUUCUAUUUUCUCUUUUUCUUUUGUCCUGUCUCCCAUGGGCAUUAUUUAAUUUUGUCUUCCUAGAGAAGAAGAGAUGUACAGGCCCAUGUAAGCUCUGGAUUUUUCACCCUUUUUUGUGCCUUUCCUUUUCUGGGUAGCGAAUACUUGUACCGUGUAUGCCAUUGUAAGUGGAACCCUAGUUGUUUCAACAUGAAGUUUAAUCUAC